CCUACGGGAGGCAGCAGUGGGGAAUAUUGGGCAAUGGGCGCAAGCCUGACCCAGCAACGCCGCGUGAAGGAAGAAGGCUUUCGGGUUGUAAACUUCUUUUAAGAGGGAAGAGCAGAAGACGGUACCUCUUGAAUAAGCCACGGCUAACUACGUGCCAGCAGCCGCGGUAAUACGUAGGUGGCAAGCGUUGUCCGGAUUUACUGGGUGUAAGGGGCGUGCAGCCGGGAAGACAAGUCAGAUGUGAAGUCCCGCGGCUCAACCGCGGAACUGCAUUUGAAACUGUUUUUCUUGAGUACCGGAGAGGUGAUCGGAAUUCCUUGUGUAGCGGUGAAAUGCGUAGAUAUAAGGAAGAACACCAGUGGCGAAGGCGGAUGACGGGACGGCAACUGACGGUGAGGCGCGAAAGCGUGGGGAGCAAACAGGAUUAGAUACCCUAGUAGUC
rnacentral:rRNA from 1 species